CGCUCCCUGACGAGGGUCGAAGCCGAAAGUUCGAGGUCGGAGGAAGCCGGGCCCCCUUAGGGCUCUUUUUGCCUUCCGUCUUCCCAUGCAUAUAUUUUUUCUUGUGUUGUUUUGUCUUGUUCUUAUUGUUUUGCUUUUCUUCCUUUAGCCUGCUGGACUUUGUAGUGUAUAUUUGGAGAAUGAAAUGAAAAGGAGAUUUUGUAUUACCUCGUCCACGCAUUGCAUUAAAUUAUCGUCCGCCGAACUUCUUUUGUCUUUCGACUUGUUCGACGUCGGUGUCGUUCGGAGAUGCCCAGUCGUCG
rnacentral:lncRNA from 1 species